GGGGAUAACGUUUGGAAACGAACGCUAAUACCGCAUAAGACCACACUUCCACAUGGGAGAGGGGUCAAAGGAGCAAUCCGCUGAAAGAUGGGCUCGCGUCCGAUUAGAUAGUUGGGGGGGUAACGGCCCACCAAGUCGACGAUCGGUAGCCGGACUGAGAGGUUGAACGGCCACAUUGGGACUGAGACACGGCCCAGACUCCUACGGGAGGCAGCAGUGAGGGAUAUUGGUCAAUGGGGGAAACCCUGAACCAGCAACGCCGCGUGAGGGAAGACGGUUUUCGGAUUGUAAACCUCUGUCCUCUGUGAAGAUAAUGACGGUAGCAGAGGAGGAAGCUCCGGCUAACUACGUGCCAGCAGCCGCGGUAAUACGUAGGGAGCGAGCGUUGUCCGGAUUUACUGGGUGUAAAGGGUGCGUAGGCGGGUAAGCAAGUCAGAAGUGAAAUCCAUAAGCUUAACCCAUGAACUGCUUUUGAAACUGUUUAUCUUGAGUGAAGUAGAGGUAGGCGGAAUUCCCGGUGUAGCGGUGAAAUGCGUAGAGAUCGGGAGGAACACCAGUGGCGAAGGCGGCCUACUGGGCUUUAACUGACGCUGAAGCACGAAAGCGUGGGUAGCAAACAGGAUUAGAUACCCU
rnacentral:rRNA from 1 species